UACGUAGGGUGCGAGCGUUAAUCGGAAUUACUGGGCGUAAAGCGUGCGCAGUCGGUUGUGCAAGACAGAUGUGAAAUCCCCGGGCUUAACCUGGGAACUGCAUUUGUGACUGCACAGCUGGAGUGCGGCAGAGGGGGAUGGAAUUCCGCGUGUAGCAGUGAAAUGCGUAGAUAUGCGGAGGAACACCGAUGGCGAAGGCAAUCCCCUGGGCCUGCACUGACGCUCAUGCACGAAAGCGUGGGGAGCAAACAGG
rnacentral:rRNA from 1 species